rnacentral:rRNA from 1 species
UGCCAGACUCCUACGGGAGGCAGCAGUGAGGAAUAUUGGUCAAUGGGCGGGAGCCUGAACCAGCCAAGUCGCGUGAGGGAAGACGGUCCUACGGAUUGUAAACCUCUUUUGCCGGGGAGCAACGGGGUCCUUGCGAGGGCCCAAUGAGAGUACCCGGAGAAAAAGCAUCGGCUAACUCCGUGCCAGCAGCCGCGGUAAUACGGAGGAUGCGAACGUUAUCCGGAUUUAUUGGGUUUAAAGGGUGCGUAGGCGGAAUGCCAAGUCAGGGGUAAAAUCGCGGGGCUCAACCUCGCUCCGCCGUUGAAACUGGCGUUCUUGAGUGGGCGAGAAGUAUGCGGAAUGCGCGGUGUAGCGGUGAAAUGCAUAGAUAUCGCGCAGAACUCCGAUUGCGAAGGCAGCAUGCCGGCUCCACACUGACGCUGAGGCACGAAAGCGUGGGUAUCGAACAGGAUUAGAUACCCUAGUA